rnacentral:rRNA from 1 species
GUAGGUGGCAAGCGUUGUCCGGAAUUAUUGGGCGUAAAGCGCGCGCAGGCGGUUCUUUAAGUCUGAUGUGAAAGCCCACGGCUCAACCGUGGAGGGUCAUUGGAAACUGGAGAACUUGAGUACAGAAGAGGAAAGCGGAAUUCCACGUGUAGCGGUGAAAUGCGUAGAGAUGUGGAGGAACACCAGUGGCGAAGGUGGCUUUCUGGUCUGUAACUGACGCUGAGGCGCGAAAGCGUGGGGAGCAAACAGGGAUUAGAUACCCUGGUAGUCCACGCCGUAAACGAUGAGUGCUAAGUGUUAGGGGGUUUCCGCCCCCUUAGUGCUGCAGCUAACGCAUUAAGCACUCCGCCUGGGGAGUACGGCCGCAAGGCUG